UACGAAGGGGGCUAGCGUUGCUCGGAAUCACUGGGCGUAAAGCGCACGUAGGCGGAUUCCUAAGUCGGGGGUGAAAUUCUGGAGCUCAACUCCAGAACUGCCUUCGAUACUGGGAAUCUUGAGUCCGGAAGAGGUGAGUGGAACUGCGAGUGUAGAGGUGAAAUUCGUAGAUAUUCGCAAGAACACCAGUGGCGAAGGCGGCUCACUGGUCCGGUACUGACGCUGAGGUGCGAAAGCGUGGGGAGCAAACAGG
rnacentral:rRNA from 1 species